UACGUAGGGGGCAAGCGUUGUCCGGAAUCAUUGGGCGUAAAGCGCGCGUAGGCGGCCCGGUAAGUCCGUUGUGAAAGUCAAAGGCUCAACCUUUGAACGCCGAUGGAUACUGCCGGGCUAGAGUCCGGAAGAGGCGAGUGGAAUUCCUGGUGUAGCGGUGGAAUGCGCAGAUAUCAGGAGGAACACCAAUAGCGAAGGCAGCUCGCUGGGACGGUACUGACGCUGAGACGCGAAAGCGUGGGGAGCGGACAGG
rnacentral:rRNA from 1 species